CAAGAAGAACCGGAAAUGUUUUACAAAUCUCUCCUUUUUAGCUGACCGACUUCCCCUCGUUACAAUGGAUCCCCUGUUCGAAAAUAGUUAUGGAUGAACCUCCCCUGCCUGUGCUCUGGUUGUUCACUGUCGUUCCUCUAUUCUUGAUUGCUAACCGAGAACCCCCCCUCGUUUUUGUUUCUCUCCUCCUUUUCGAGGGCUCUCCUCAUCAACGUGAUCCCCCCUCCUUUCUUUUGUGUUCCACUCGUGUUAUAUUCCCUCCUUGCCAGUUAUGGGCUCGAGCCAAGUGAACGGCGGUAGUGCUUCAGUGAAUAGCCGACAAACGCAGGAACAUGGGGUCUUCACGAGGGGCAUGGACAGCAUGGGUGGAUAGAUGAGUCAUCGGGACUGAUUUUAUUCAACUAGUUUUGUAUCCCACGUGCUGCCUUUCUCUCUAAUAAUUUUAAUGUGCUGUUUAUGCUUUGUGAGUGUGCCCCAACAUAAACUUUCCUCCACAUGUGCUUGUUGCCGUGUAUGAGCUGGAAAUGUCUCAAAUGUGCUCCCACGUGUUGCAUUAUCCUUGUAAGCUGUUAAUGUCCAAUUUCAGCCUGUUUAGACACUCCUUAGUGCUCCUAUAUGUGUUGUUCCCACGUUUUCAAUGUGCAUGUGCAAAGAACAACAAAUGUUUUAUCGAAA